ACGGGGUGCAGCAGGCGCGAAACCUCCGCAAUGCGUGCAAGCGUGACGGGGGAACCCCAAGUGCCGAUGGUCUAACGACUGUCGGCUUUUCGAGAGUGUAAAGAGCUCUCAGAAUAAGGGCUGGGUAAGACAGGUGCCAGCCGCCGCGGUAACACCUGCAGCUCAAGUGGUAGCCGAUUUUAUUGGGCCUAAAGCGUCCGUAGCCGGGCUGACAAGUCCUUUGUGAAAUCGGGCGGCUCAACCGUUCGGCUUGCAAGGGAAACUGUCGGUCUUGGGGCCGGGAGACGCUGAGGGUACUCCGGGGGUAGCGGUGAAAUGCUGUAAUCCUCGGGGGACCACCAAUGGCGAAGGCACUCAGCGAGAACGGACCCGACGGUGAGGGACGAAAGCUGGGGGAGCGAACCGGAUUAGAUACCCGGGUAGUCCCAGCCGUAAAGUAUGCAGGCCAGGUGCUGGACGUCCCUCGAGGGCAUUCGGUGCCGUAGGGAAGCCGUUAAGCCUGCCGCCUGGGGAGUACGGUCGCAAGGCUGAAACUUAAAGGAAUUGGCGGGGGAGCAC
rnacentral:rRNA from 1 species